UACGGAGGGUGCAAGCGUUAUCCGGAUUUACUGGGUUUAAAGGGUGCGCAGGCGGAUAUGUAAGUCAGUGGUGAAAUCUCUGGGCUUAACCCGGAAAUUGCCAUUGAUACUAUAUAUCUUGAAUGCUGUGGGAGGUAAGCGGAAUAUGUCAUGUAGCGGUGAAAUGCUUAGAGAUGACAUAGAACACCUAUUGCGAAGGCAGCUUACUACGCAGAGAUUGACGCUCAUGCACGAAAGCGUGGGGAUCAAACAGG
rnacentral:rRNA from 1 species